UACGAAGGGGGCUAGCGUUGCUCGGAAUCACUGGGCGUAAAGGGUGCGUAGGCGGGUCUUUUAAGUCAGGGGUGAAAUCCUGGAGCUCAACUCCAGAACUGCCCUUGAUACUGGCGACCUUGAGUUCGGGAGAGGUGAGUGGAACUGCGAGUGUAGAGGUGAAAUUCGUAGAUAUUCGCAAGAACACCAGUGGCGAAGGCGGCUCACUGGCCCGAUACUGACGCUGAGGUGCGAAAGCGUGGGGAGCAAACAGGG
rnacentral:rRNA from 1 species